AUUGAACGCUGGCGGCAUGCCUUACACAUGCAAGUCGAACGGCAGCACGGGGGCAACCCUGGUGGCGAGUGGCGAACGGGUGAGUAAUACAUCGGAACGUGUCCUAUCGUGGGGGGAUAACUAGUCGAAAGACUAGCUAAUACCGCAUGAGAUCGAGAGAUGAAAGCAGGGGACCGCAAGGCCUUGCGCGAUUGGAGCGGCCGAUGUCGGAUUAGCUAGUUGGCGGGGUAAAAGCCCACCAAGGCGACGAUCCGUAGCUGGUUUGAGAGAACGACCAGCCACACUGGGACUGAGACACGGCCCAGACUCCUACGGGAGGCAGCAGUGGGGAAUUUUGGACAAUGGGCGCAAGCCUGAUCCAGCAAUGCCGCGUGUGUGAAGAAGGCCUGCGGGUUGUAAAGCACUUUCAGUGGGGAAGAACGGAUAACGGGCCCGAAUAACCCCGCAUCACUGACGUUACCCACAGAAGAAGACACCGGCUAACUCCGUGCCAGCAGCCGCGGUAA
rnacentral:rRNA from 1 species